rnacentral:rRNA from 1 species
UACGGAGGAUGCAAGCGUUAUCCGGAAUGAUUGGGCGUAAAGGAUCCGCAGGUGGCAAUGUAAGUCUGCUGUCAAAGAAUGAGGCUUAACCUCAUCAAGGCAGUGGAAACUACAUAGCUAGAGUACGGUCGGGGUAGAAGGAAUUCCUGGUGUAGCGGUGAAAUGCGUAGAGAUCAGGAAGAACACCGGUGGCGAAAGCGUUCUGCUAGACCUGUACUGACACUGAGGGACGAAAGCUAGGGGAGCGAAUGGG